rnacentral:rRNA from 1 species
UACGUAGGGUGCAAGCGUUAUUCGGAUUUAUUGGGCGUAAAGCGCAUGUAGGCGGUUUCGUAAGUCUGAUGUGAAAUCCCUGGACUCAAUCCAGGAAGGGCAUUGGAUACUGCGAGACUAGAGUAUAAGAGAGGUGGACGGAAUUACUGGUGUAGAGGUGAAAUUCGUAGAUAUCAGUAGGAACAACAGAGGCGAAGGCGGUUCACUGGAUUAUACUGACGCUGAGAUGCGAAGGUGUGGGGAGCAAACAGG